rnacentral:rRNA from 1 species
CUGGCUCAGGAUGAACGCUGGCGGCGUGCCUAAUACAUGCAAGUCGAACGAAGCACCUCGGUGCUUAGUGGCGAACGGGUGAGUAACACGUGGGUAACCUGCCCUCAAGACGAGGAUAACCGUUGGAAACGAUGGCUAAGACUGGAUAGGAAUACGGGAGGCAUCUUCUGUAUUUUAAAAGACCUGGCAACAGGUAUGCUUGAGGAGGGGCCUGCGGCGCAUUAGUUAGUUGGUGAGGUAACGGCUCACCAAGACGAUGAUACGUAGCCGACCUGAGAGGGUGAUCGGCCACAUUGGGACUGAGACACGGCCCAAACUCCUACGGAGGGGCAGCAGUAGGGAAUCUUCCGCAAUGGACGAAAGUCCGACGGAGCAACGCCGCGUGAGUGAAGAAGGGUUUUUUCGGAUCGUAAAACUCUGUUGUCAGAGAAGAACAAGUUGGAGAGUAACUGCUCCAGCCUUGACGGUAUCUGACCAGAAAGCCACGGCUAACUACGUGCCAGCAGCGGC